rnacentral:rRNA from 1 species
GGCUCAGGAUGAACGCUAGCGGCAGGCUUAAUACAUGCAAGUCGUGGGGCAGCGCAGUGUAGCAAUACAUGGGCGGCGACCGGCAAACGGGUGCGGAACACGUACACAACCUUCCUACAAGUGGGGAAUGGCCAGAGAAAUUUGGAUUAAUACCCCGUAACAUAUAAAGAUGGCAUCAUUUUUAUAUUAUAGCUACGGCGCUUGUUGAUGGGUGUGCGGCUGAUUAGGUAGUUGGCGGGGUAAUGGCCCACCAAGCCUGCGAUCAGUAGCUGAUGUGAGAGCAUGAUCAGCCACACGGGCACUGAGACACGGGCCCGACUCCUACGGGAGGCAGCAGUAAGGAAUAUUGGACAAUGGGCGCAAGCCUGAUCCAGCCAUGCCGCGUGAAGGAUUAAGGUCCUCUGGAUUGUAAACUUCUUUUAUAAGGGACGAAAAAGGGAAUUCUUUCUCACUUGACGGUACCUUAUGAAUAAGCACCGGCUAACUCCGUG